GACGAACGCUGGCGGCGUGCUUAACACAUGCAAGUCGAACGGGAUUUAGUAGACAGAAGCCUCGGCUAAAGAUUACUAAUGAGAGUGGCGAACGGGUGAGUAACGCGUGAGCAACCUGCCUAUGACAGUGGGAUAGCCUCGGGAAACCGGGAUUAAUACCGCAUAAAAUCGUAGAAACACAUGUUUUAACGGUCAAAGAUUUAUCGGUCAUAGAUGGGCUCGCGUCUGAUUAGCUAGUUGGUGAGAUAACAGCCCACCAAGGCGACGAUCAGUAGCCGGUCUGAGAGGAUGAACGGCCACAUUGGAACUGGGACACGGUCCAAACUCCUACGGGAGGCAGCAGUGGGGAAUAUUGCACAAUGGGGGAAACCCUGAUGCAGCGACGCCGCGUGAACGAAGAAGGUAUUCGUAUCGUAAAGUUCUGUCCUAUGGGAAGAUAAUGACAGUACCAUAGAAGAAAGCUCCGGCUAAAUACGU
rnacentral:rRNA from 1 species